rnacentral:rRNA from 1 species
UGCCAGACUCCUACGGGAGGCAGCAGUGAGGAAUAUUGGUCAAUGGGCGCGAGCCUGAACCAGCCAAGUCGCGUGAGGGAUGACGGCCCUACGGAUUGUAAACCUCUUUUGCCGGGGAGCAACGGGGUCCUUGCGAGGACCCGAUGAGAGUACCCGGAGAAAAAGCAUCGGCUAACUCCGUGCCAGCAGCCGCGGUAAUACGGAGGAUGCGAGCGUUAUCCGGAUUUAUUGGGUUUAAAGGGUGCGCAGGCGGAAUGUCAAGUCAGCGGUAAAAUUGCGGGGCUCAACCUCGUCGAGCCGUUGAAACUGGGUGCCUUGAGUGGGCGAGAAGUACGCGGAAUGCGUGGUGUAGCGGUGAAAUGCAUAGAUAUCACGCAGAACUCCGAUUGCGAAGGCAGCAUACCGGCGCCCAACUGACGCUGAAGCACGAAAGCGUGGGUAUCGAACAGGAUUAGAUACCCUAGUAGG